rnacentral:rRNA from 1 species
GCAAGGGACCUGAGUAUAGGCGCUGCAUGGCUGUCGUCAGCUCGUGCCGUGAGGUGUUGGGUUAAGUCCCGCAACGAGCGCAACCCUGCACACAGUUACUACUCGCAAGAGAGGACUCUGUGUGGACUGCUCCGGAUAACGGAGAGGAAGGUGGGGAUGACGUCAAGUCCGCAUGGCCUUUAUGUCCAGGGCUACACACGUGUUACAAUGCAGGGCACAAACCGUUGCCAACCCGCGAGGGGGAGCUAAUCGGAAAAAACCCUGCUCAGUUCGGAUUGCAGUCUGCAACUCGACUGCAUGAAGCCGGAAUCGCUAGUAAUGGCGUAUCAGAUCGACGCCGUGAAUACGUUCCCGGGCCUUGUACACACCGCCCGUCACAUCACGAAAGUGAGUUGUACUAGAAGUCGCCGCGCGAACCGCAAGGACGCAAGCGCCCAAGGUAUGACUCAUGAUUGGGGUGAAGUCGUAACAAGGUAAGCGUAGUGCU